rnacentral:lncRNA from 1 species
AAAUAAAAGAAACUGCAAUUAUAUAAAAUAUAUAUAUAUAACAAUGGUCAAAGUUCUUAUUUCAUUUACCUAUUUAAGUAAACACUUCUUUUACCCUGCUUACCCUUCCAGAGCACCUGAGAUCACCCCCAGUUUUUGGUGGGGUUCGUGUUUCUUAGUCUUUAUUUUUCUGUGUUGUAUUUUGUGUUCCGUUGUUUGUCUGUUUAUCUGUUUCUUUUUUAGCCAUGACUUUAUCAGUUUAUUAUUUUUUACUUAUGAGAUUUAACGUCCCUUUGGUUUUUGGCUCCCCUUUUUCUUUCUUUUUCAAGUAAAUUUAACAUGUUAUAUACAAAUUUUUGUCAUGUUGGAAGACGUCAAACCUUAUACUUGAGUGAUGGGUCAACGUA